rnacentral:ncRNA from 1 species
UAAAGGGUUUUCUUGCUCUUUUUUUGCUAUAAGAGAAGGUUUUACAUGUAUAUUUUAAAAUGAAUAGAAAAGGGUUUUAAAUAAGCUAAAUAUUUAAUAGACACAGUAGAUAAAAUUUUUUAUUUAAGAAAUUAAGAAGAAGAAAAUUUAAUAGUAUAAACUAAUUUUGUGCCAGCAGUUGCGGUUAUACAGAUUAUGCAAUAGUAAAUUUUUAGUUUUAGAUAAAUGAAAUUAUUGGAUUGAGAUAGAAAUUUUUUAGGUGAAAUUUUAAGUUUUUGGAAAGGUUUUGCUAAGAUUUUAUGUUUAAAAAAUUUUUUGUUUAAACUAGGAUUAGAUACCCUACUAUAAAAAAGGUGAAGUUUAUGGACUAGGUUAGUAUAAGAUAUAUUUUUGAAAGUUAGAGGAGUUGGCGGUUUUUUAGUCUAUUCAGAGGAGCCUGUCCUGUUAUUGAUAGUCCACGUUUUAUAAAACUUAAGUUUUGAGUUUACAUAUCGCCGUAGUUUGAAUAUUUUUGUAGAAAAAUAAUAUUCAGGAUUUUUUUUUAAAAAUUAUAUCAGGUCAAGGUGCAGUUUAUAUUUAAGAAGAGAUGGGCUACAAUAGAUUUAUUUAGACAGUAUAAGGGUUGAAAAAUUUUUAUUAAGGUGGAUUUGAAUGUAAUUUUAUAAAGUUUUUUAAGAUGAUUUAAGCUCUAAGAUAUGUACAUAUCGCCCGUCGCUUUCACUUAAGAUGAAAUAAGUCGUAACAAAGUAGAUGUACUGGAAAGUGUCUCUAGAAAGAA